rnacentral:lncRNA from 7 species
UUUUUUUUUUUUUUUUUUUUUUUUUUUUUGGGGGGGUUUUUUGUUUUGUUUUUUAAAUUGAAGGCUAAAGUUUUUGAAAAAACUUUGUUGGACUCUGGCUGGGACACAAAAUCAGAUAUUUGGAAUCAUUUUGAAGCUUAACUUUUUCCUAACCAGCCUUGUAUUCUAAUUGCUUGCAAAUGUGAGACUGAAUGGCCAAAAUGCCGUUUGUUUGUUUGUUUAUUGUCAGCUGCUUUUAUCAAAUUCCAGGCCAUUAUCCAGCAAACACUAUUAAAAUGUUUGAACAGUUGGGUUUCAAACAUUUUUGUUUUGUGGAGUGGUGCUUAUUAAGUGGUACAGCUCUCUAAGCAAGUGAACACAAACAUAUUUAAGUGUAUUUUGUAUGAUUAGAUGUUACCAAUUCUGAUAUUUUAUUCAAAUGUCUAAAAAAAUAAGUUGACUUAUUCCCUUUACCAAAGGGCCAGAGACAAAUGGUUUCCUUUCAAGAGAAAUGACUGUUUUGAAGAAAAACUCUGUUGGUCUUAGCUCUUUUGUAAUUAAAUCUGGAUGUACCUCAAAAGACUCUUUAAGACUGUGGUGUUAAAAGGCUUUCCUCUGGAGAAGGAGAAAAAAUAAAAUCAACUGGAACUUAAAAGCUUGAAAUUCCAUGACAAAACACAGAUGUCCAGGAUUGGAGGUUCAUAAAGUACAUGCAGUAGUUGGAGUGGAUUCCAUUUUCAGUGUAGCUGCCACCAUGGACUCCAGGCUCCCAGAUUUUCAAGAACUGGACCUGUGACCCAGAAGAGCUUGUCAAGAUAUGACAGGAACUCUGGAGGUGGACGUUUUGUAUUCAAUUUUGGAACUGUUGAUCUUGCCGUGAGAAAAGAGAGACACGACUCACCAAGCACUGCCACCAGCACUGUCACUGGGAACUUGAAGAUCCAAGUUUCUGUCCAGAACCUCAGUGCAAACUGACAACACUCCAUCCAAAGUGAACUACGUCCCGUGCCUCCUGAUUGCUGAAUGUUCACCUGGACCUGCCAAUGACCUUCCUUCUGCUACUCCAUCAGCCUACAGACCUGGUACUUGGAUUUUUGUCCAUGGUGAUUCCUUCCACCUUACUACUGAAGAAGACACCAUUCCAGUGGACCACUGUGACCCAAGAAGCAUUCAGCCAUCAUGAUGUGGCCUUUACCUCCACUCCUGUCCUACUCUGCCCAGAUUCAGCACAGCCCUUUAUAGUGCAGUCAAGAGUCUUCAAGCCAAAUAACUGAAGCUAUUUUAUCACAACAAAGGCCAGGUUUAUUCCAUAAAUGUACAGUUCAUUUCUGCAGUUUAUUCUUCAGAGACACAUAGUAAAUUUGGACCAGGGGAUUUUGUUUUGUUUAUAUUGUCAACACUGUCUGAAGAAAGGCAUCUCUGAGAACAGCAUUGGACCCUACUCCACAAUCUCAAAUGAUUGAAGUUUCAUAAACUGCCUAGGAUCCUGUCAAGGCCACUGGACUCUUGUUCUUUUCCUACUUCAAAAUCUGUAGCUGUCUACUAAAUGACAAAGCAGAUAUUCUGACCCAUUGGGAUCAAAACCAAGGCAUUUUGAAUUCCUCAUAGUAUCAUCUUCGGGUUACUCAGGAACCAAAACUUUUCACACCAAUUUAAGAAAUUCUACUGAGGAAUCCCUUUACCUAACCAUCUCACAAGGCUUCAACCAGAUUCCUGAAAAGGCCUCUUGAUAUAUCAAGAUAGAACCUACAUGCAUUUUGUGAACAACUUAUCACUGAUUUUCCAAAGGCUUUGUGCUCUUGAAGUUCUUUGAAGGAAAGCUGUGUGGAAGUCCAGAGUAAAGUGAAGCUGCUCUGGAUGAAGUAGUGAAGUGGGAGUUGAGGUCUACAACCUGCCACAACCAUCUUCCUUUACCACCAUGGUGAUGCCAAAAGGGACUUCCUUAAAGCUCUUCAGAAAAUCCUGCUUGAAACCACUACCCUAGACAACAUGUUUGACCUGGAUGGCAUUCUCUUCAAAACAAUUCAUAUUCAGUUGAUGCUCAACAUGUUUGGAGAUGCUUUAUUCAGAGAAUGAUGAUAAUUACAGCAUUGUCUAAUGAAGUUUUAUUAAUAGCAUUCCAUCCAAGGUGGACUUCCUGGAGUUGGAUAUAACCAGAGAGCAAUUCAUAUGUAUCCUACACUGAAGAACACCAUUAACUUUCAGCAACCUAUAGCUAGUGGUACUAGAAGUACGUGUCUUGGAAGUCUAUGAGAGCUGGUAUUGAAGCUGAUGCCUCCUUAAGGCCAUCUUAGACCAAGUUGUUUGUUUGACCUCUCCUCAUUAACUAUGGAGCAGAAUUGAAAUACAAAUUUUUCCUAAAGGGACUUGCAACCUGGUUAUCAUUCAUUAUCUCAAGUUUCAAGUCAUGUUGAUGCAACCAGUAGUUAUUAAACUGCUCCAUGGUUUUUUGUUAUUUAAUACUUUUUCCAGGGCUUAAAAAAACAAAAUUAAAUUUCUCCAACACGUCUAUACUUGUCUGUUCAAAAGUAACUACUCACCACUAUAUGGAACAGAUGAUUCUGAAGACACUCUGAGCAUCCUUUAUGAUAUUUGUGACUUAAAAUGUGGCUGGAAAUUUUCCUUCUACCCAGUGAAAUAUUUAAUGAUUAGUCUUCAUGCCUGAUACCAUCAACUGUAUAUGCGUGAUAGGCAAAGUUUGACAUAGGCAUUUGACUCUAGGCUAUGAUAGCUUGCUAGUAACUUCAAGUAGCAUAUUGUCAACCUGUUUGCUGGAAAAGUAGAGUAACUUGGAAAAAAAACUAAAUGGCAGCUAAGGAUUUUUUUCAGUAUUCCUGAGUUUCUGUCCUUGGGAUAUUUCAAUGAAAUUUUCACCUGUCUCUUCACUUAACAGAGUGACUGACUCCUUACUAUGAAGUAUUCUUAAGACAUUAAGAUUACUUUUGUAGAAAGGAUAAAAUUCCUGACCAUCCAAAUCAUCAUAGUGAACAAGACUUCAAUUUGUGACCUGAGAAAAUCUCAUUUCUCUACUUCGUAGUCAAUGUAAGGGCCAAUGCUAUCAGCUACUCUGAGUGCACUGGGUAAACGUUGGAACUGCCUUCUUUAUAUCAUUACUUUUUAUCCUCUAAAUUAAUCAUGGUUAUGUAAUUCUCGCCACAAAUCAGCAAAUCAGACUCAGAUCUGGUUAUUCUAGACUGCUCACAGUUAACAAAUCAAACUCUGGAUGACUUCUGCUUGUAUAUGCAACUACUAUUUGUAAAGAAAUUGCAAAUUCACUUUUCUAUUACCUCUACAUUGCUAGCUCUUUCUUUUGUGUUUGUAUUAAAAACAAAAAUAAGCUACACUGCCAGCUAUUCCCUCCUGCCAUACUCAGUUAAAAUGAAGAAUCGGGAAUCUAACCAGUGAAUGGAUAAGUAGAAAAAACUAAAACUUAAGGCAAAAGCCUUAAUCUAGGGCCUUUUCUACUAUCUUCAUGUCUUGGAUUUCAUCUAAAAUCAACAGUGCCACCCAACCAGUCUGAGGUCUUGACUUGCUUUUAAGAUGAUUCUUAGAGAUGGGCUGUAUUACAGAAGGUGAAGACUUGAUUACCAAAGAAAGUAGAGCCAACUUUGACAAACCUGGCUCUACAAUCCUAUUGCUUCCAGAUGUAGCAUAGACUCAUAACUAGAACCUCAAGUCUGCAUUGAGGAUAUAGCCUUCUAAGCUGACAGUUCUUGCAACAGGUGAGCAAGAAAAUGAAAGCUGUUAUACCCAACUGGCCCUUUAAGAUCCAAAAAUAAUGUCUGGACUAAACCCUAUGGAGUACCCAGGACAAAAACUAAUUUACAGAGCUUCAUUAUUAAUCUGCCUGUUCUUCUAGCUUAAUUAUUGGUAUGGCUGGCCCUACUGAAGUAGUUUGUCUGUUUACCUGUCUUCAGCUCUUAACCUGGCUAUUUUGACAUGCUACUGCAAUUAGACUAACUGGCUUUGAGAAGACUACAAUCAGUUUCAGCCUCUCCUUUGCCCAAUUUCACCAAGGAAUUUUGAUAAGAGGAACCCAUACCUCACCCCACCAGAACAGAAAGGACCAUGCUGCAUAUUCCUUGACCAGCAACUUUAAGUAGAGAACAACCCUGCUUGUUUUCAACAUCUGAAACACCAUUUGAUCUAAUAGGAGUAUAGAAGGUUGACAGCAGAGUACACUACUUACUUCUUUCAUAACUCAGAAAUGAAUAUGACUGGCCCAGAAGUUGUAAGUUCACCUUGACAAGAAACAGCAACACCAGAAGUUUACUGCUGAACUUAACUUGCCACUUACUCGAAUAGUCUCACAGACCUGCUUGCCAAGUAGGAGGCUAGUUUUCCUGCUUCAUAUCACCAUUGGAGUGGGGCUCAAUGGGGUCAAUGUUAAUACUGACUUGAAUGGGGACCUUAUGGUGAAUCCUAGACUAUGAGGCUAAUGGAAAUUAUUGUCUAUUCAAGUGGAUUAUAGAUUUCCUGAGGACAGAACAGACAUCACUCCUGGUGAUUUUUAGAACUUGAUUACCAAGGAAGAAAUACCAGCUGCUAACAGUCAACUUCAUGGGCAAAGAUUAAGCUCUCUAUAUCUGGUCGUAUCCUGGAUGCUAGUUUUUUAUUGCCCAGUGACCAUUUCCAUCUCACGCUUAACUUCCUGAUGUUUUUUGGAACCAUCUCUUCCAAUUUUCAGUCCUGGUGAUUUAGACAGUCUUUUCAUGCUGGACAUUUUGUUGCAACCUCAUCAAUCACAGCAAAGUCCAUCUUGACUUUAGUGAUUAGUUCAGGAAUGGAUGCAUGAUUCAAGUUUGUCCAAUGAUAAUCAACCCUAGGUGUUUUCUCAGUUGUGGAGAAGUUCUCUUAGAUGCUUUAGCUUUGUAGGAGAAAACUCAAACCAACAGGGCCUACCUACUAUGUUGAAUGAUUGUAGGAGAAAACUCAAACCAACCAGGCCUACCUACUAUGUUGAAUGAGCCAGGCAGAAAAUGAAGCCAGUACAGAGGGAAAUGGAGCCAAAAGAGGAAGAGACUUGAGUUCUGAUGAUCACAUUUAUGCCCCUGUAUCCAACUGUGCCUGAAGCUAAUAGUACAUCACCUGGACUUUUCAGUUAUGUGAACCAAUAAAUUCCCCUUUUUGUUUAAGUUACUUUGAGUU